AUUAGAUGAUGUUACAUAUAUUUGCUACUUCGGACGAGGCUAUCUACCUCGAAUGAGACAUAUUUUAAUCACCAAGAUCUCUGAUAAU
rnacentral:snoRNA from 1 species